GCUCCCGUAGCUCAGGGGAUAGAGCACCGCUCUCCUAAAGCGGGUGUCGCAGGUUCGAAUCCUGCCGGGAGCACCG
rnacentral:tRNA from 3 species